GGCUGGGUCCUGUGCGGCAGAACAUCGUGAACCCCGUCAGGGCCGGAAGGCAGCAGCGGUAAGCGAAUCGUUCUGGGUGCCACGGGUACGCCUGGCAUCC
rnacentral:SRP_RNA from 1 species